rnacentral:misc_RNA from 1 species
GUGCGGCCGUAUAUACGGUGCUCCCUCGCAAAGGUAAUCCCUAUCAUUGUUUAACCAUAUACUUUGUACUGGGAAAUUCGGAUCCCCUUCUAGGACUUUAACAAUCUGACUCAUUCGUGGACGAUAAUGAGCGAGUCUGUAUACACAAGAUGCAGCACAAUAAAUCAUUCUCUUCAUUUCUACUUUGUCGUAGGAUUUCAAACCGGUGUCAAUAAUAUCAUUAUAAUUGUUUUUCUGCAAAGCUUUUCUAAGUCGAGGAGCUACCCAAACAGAUAACGUAGUGCCAAUACC